rnacentral:rRNA from 1 species
GGUGGGAGGCUUUGAAGUGUGGACGCCAGUCUGCAUGGAGCCGACCUUGAAAUACCACCCUUUAAUGUUUGAUGUUCUAACGUGGACCCGUGAUCCGGGUUGCGGACAGUGUCUGGUGGGUAGUUUGACUGGGGCGGUCUCCUCCUAAAGAGUAACGGAGGAGCACGAAGGUUGGCUAAUCCUGGUCGGACAUCAGGAGGUUAGUGCAAUGGCAUAAGCCAGCUUGACUGCGAGCGUGACGGCGCGAGCAGGUGCGAAAGCAGGUCAUAGUGAUCCGGUGGUUCUGAAUGGAAGGGCCAUCGCUCAACGGAUAAAAGGUACUCCGGGGAUAACAGGCUGAUACCGCCCAAGAGUUCAUAUCGACGGCGGUGUUUGGCACCUCGAUGUCGGCUCAUCACAUCCUGGGGCUGAAGUAGGUCCCAAGGGUAUGGCUGUUCGCCAUUUAAAGUGGUACGCGAGCUGGGUUUAGAACGUCGUGAGACAGUUCGGUCCCUAUCUGCCGUGGGCGCUGGAGAACUGAGGGGGGCUGCUCCUAGUACGAGAGGACCGGAGUGGACGCAUCACUGGUGUUCGGG